GGGGAGGGGGCUCUGCCGGCGGGGAGGGGGCGCAGAGCCCCCAGGAUCAGCCCCUGCCAAAGCAGGGGCAGCGCUGGCACCGCGGACACAAAAGGCGAUUGUUCCCUGCAGCCCAGAGGGAGGGAGGGAGCCCUGAGGUCCCCCCAAGCCCCUUGAUUUAUGGCUCGCAAUAAUAUGUGUUGGAGCCCUGCAACCCAGAGUGCUGUGCGGGUGACCUGGAAAAAUAAGUCUAUUAACCCUAAUCAAUCUCCCAUUAUCCACCCUCGUCCACAAUUUAGGCAGCAAAGGAGUCACCAAGGCCUCUCAAGUCGCUUCGAACUAAUCCCAUUGUCUUUCCUAAUCAGGGGCCAUGAGCGAGGAGCGGCUUCUCCAGCGCAGCAUUGUCACUCCGCGUUUGAGGGAAAAGAACUGGGGGGGACCGAGGCUCGCUCUUUCAUCUUUUAAUGAGAAAGUGGAGGAUUGUUUUCCUUCUGAAUUGCUGGGCCUCGGUGAAGCCCCGGGCUCCGGUGGGUGUCAGUUCCCAGGGCCCGCAGGGAGCGCUGGGCACGCAGCAGGAAAGCUGCUCUGCUAAAAGGCCCUCCUGCAAUUAGCAAAACCGUGGCUGCAGAUUAAGUGCUUUAUUAGGGCACUAAUGAUGAAGUUUAUCAGGGCUGGGGUGCAGCUCGGCUCAGCUGUGGCACCCCAUGGAAAGGAGAGAGGGGACAAAGGGACCUGGCGUGUCACUUGUACGGAUUCAGCAGAAAAUGUCACUUGAAUCUGGACCAGGAAAACCAGGAAUACAAAGCCUCUUUCUGACUGAGGUCCAAAGGACAUCCCUUUUUCCUCCAGAGAAGCCACGUGUCCAGGUGCAACCUGCCAGCGUGUGGGAUUUUCCAGCUGUGUGCAUUGGCCUGAGGUUGUUCCCAGAGCAGGGCAGAGGGAGCUGGGACAUCUCCCUGACCCUUCAACACCCUGCAAAGUCAGCCCCUCCAACAGAGCUGCCACAACUGCUCAAACACUUUCUGGUGACCUGGACUGCACCUUUCUCUCAACCCCAAAAUGCUCACUCAUUCAAAGUGCAAAUUUUACUAAACUGCAG
rnacentral:lncRNA from 1 species